GGCCCUGUGGCUCAGUUGGUAGAGCAUGGUGUGUGCAACGCCAGGGUUGUGGGUUCGAUUCCCACGGGGGGCCA
rnacentral:tRNA from 1 species